rnacentral:misc_RNA from 1 species
UACGGAGGGGGCAAGCGUUGUCCGGAAUUAUUGGGCGUAAAGCGCGCGCAGGCGGCCCUUUAAGUCUGCUGUGAAAUCUUGCGGCUUAACCGCAAGCGUUCAUUGGAAACUGGGGGACUUGAGUACAGAAGAGGGGAGCGGAAUUCCACGUGUAGCGGUGAAAUGCGUAGAUAUGUGGAGGAACACCAGUGGCGAAGGCGGCUCUCUGGUCUGUAACUGACGCUGAGGAGCGAAAGCAUGGGUAGCAAACAGG